rnacentral:rRNA from 1 species
UACGGAGGGUGCAAGCGUUAUCCGGAUUCACUGGGUUUAAAGGGUGCGUAGGCGGGCAGAUAAGUCAGUGGUGAAAUCCCCGAGCUUAACUUGGGAACUGCCAUUGAUACUAUUUGUCUUGAAUGUCGUGGAGGUUAGCGGAAUAUGUCAUGUAGCGGUGAAAUGCUUAGAUAUGACAUAGAACACCCAUUGCGAAGGCAGCUAACUACGCGAAUAUUGACGCUGAGGCGCGAAAGCGUGGGGAGCAAACAGG